rnacentral:tRNA from 1 species
AUUUAAGUAGUUUAUUUAAAAUAUUGAUUUGUGGUGUCAAAGAAAUUGUUUAAUCUUAAAUU